rnacentral:rRNA from 2 species
GAAGCGGCAACAGCUCAAAUUUGAAAUCUGGCGUAAGCCCGAGUUGUAAUUUGUAGAGGAUGCUUCUGGGUAGCGGCCGGUCUAAGUUCCUUGGAACAGGACGUCAUAGAGGGUGAGAAUCCCGUAUGUGACUGGCUUGCACCCUCCACGUAGCUCCUUCGACGAGUCGAGUUGUUUGGGAAUGCAGCUCUAAAUGGGAGGUAAAUUUCUUCUAAAGCUAAAUACCGGCCAGAGACCGAUAGCGCACAAGUAGAGUGAUCGAAAGAUGAAAAGCACUUUGGAAAGAGAGUUAAAAAGCACGUGAAAUUGUUGAAAGGGAAGCGCCCGCAACCAGACUUUGCGGCGGUGUUCGGCCGGUCUUCUGACCGGUUUACUCGCCGCCGUGAGGCCAUCAUCGUCUGGGACCGCUGGAUAAGACCUGAGGAAUGUAGCUCCCUUCGGGGUGUGUUAUAGCCUCUGGUGAUGCAGCGCGUCUCGGGCGAGGUCCGCGCUUCGGCAAGGAUGAUGGCGUAAUGGUUGUCGGCGGCCCGUCUUGAAACACGGACCAAGGAGUCUAACAUCUAUGCGAGUGUUCGGGUGUCAAACCCCUACGCGUAAUGAAAGUGAACGGAGGUGGGAACUUUUUGUGCACCAUCGACCGAUCCUGAUGUCCUCGGAUGGAUUUGAGUAAGAGCAUAGCUGUUGGGACCCGAAAGAUGGUGAACUAUGCCUGAAUAGGGUGAAGCCAGAGGAAACUCUGGUGGA